AUUAUGGAUGAUAUUGGUCACGAAAAGCCUACGUGUUAAUCCCUCCACCAGUCCAAUCUGUAUGGGGAUAGAGUGUUGUCCCCUCGCACACGUGGAUUUUCUCCAGGCUGCCCCGGUGUACCUCCCACACGUGAACACUCAACAAUUGGCCCGUAACAUCUUAAUAAAUAGAGGACCACAGAGCUCGGGGCGUGAGGUUUGACACCGGCUCACCACGUGGGUGCACGCCCCACUCGUCUGUGGUUCCGCCCGACGCCUCUUGAGUCGUCCUCCCUCUGUCUAUGAAAUCGAGCGCGUCGCGUGUGGCGAGCGCGGCGGCGGCGCGCCUUUACCAGUUGGACUUUAUUCACCAUCAUCAUCAUCAUUAUUGUAAAGUCAAUUCGGUGUGCGGGUGGUGGUUUUAUUAGUAUACAGGGUGCUUAAAAAUGUUCACACUUAUACGGGACUUUCGUUUUUAAUGGAAAAAGAAGGGAUACUACACUGUAACGUGAUAACAAGUGUGAUGUUAAUAGCUUCAAAGAGUCAGAGAGUCUCCACUUGGUCCGUCAUCGUUGCCAACGCGUGCCUGGGAUCUUCUCCAGGUGAUCUCCAGAGCCCGGCGGCGGCACGUCUCUCGUGGUUUUUGUUUGCAAAUUCUCGGGAGCGUUCACGUUGUUUUUGAAGCACCCUGGACAUCAGUUGAGCGUGAGAGGAUGGCCACGGAUUGGGCUUCGGCAUCCAUCCAGCAGUGGAGUGACCCUGGGCGGCGGCGGCGACGAUGAUGACGACGACGCUGCCGCUCCAUUUGUCAGCAAGUGGGUCGGUCUCGACAGCCGGGCAACCGUCGCCGUUGACAUCACUCCUCUCAAUGGGCAUCGUAGCCUGGCGAGCCGGUUGCCACGGUCGGCUACGUACGGUGCGAAAGAAGUUCAACAUACAUCGUGACAAUCCCAAGGCUUGCUUGGAGGGCUGUACAGAUUUAAAAAAAAACUGGGCCACAACCGCAUCUUCCUGUUCCUCCAUUGCCUAAGUAAUAAUCAUUAUUUUACAACAAAUAAAAUCUGCCACCAAAUCCGUGGCACCUUUUCUUGACCUAUUUUGACCGCCCCCCCGCCGCCUCCCAAUCUCGGCCGUGUUUUGCUGAAUGAGCGAAGACGACAUCGGGUCUGGAGUGUCGGCACGAUCUUCGUCAUCUUGGCAUGCUGCAAGCCUUGCCGUUGCUAUUCCCGGCUUCUGUGUGUGUGGUGUAGCGGUUAGCGCUACGUCG